AUUGAACGCUGGCGGCAGGCCUAACACAUGCAAGUCGAGCGAGCGGCGGACGGGUGAGUAAUGUAUGGGGAUCUGCCCGUUAGAGGGGGAUAACUACUGGAAACGGUAGCUAAUCCCGCAUACUAUCGGAUGAACCCAUAUGGGAUUAGCUAGUAGGUGGGGUAAAGGCUCACCUAGGCGACGAUCUCUAGCUGGUCUGAGAGGAUGAUCAGCCACACUGGGACUGAGACACGGCCCAGACUCCUACGGGAGGCAGCAGUGGGGAAUAUUGCACAAUGGGCGCAAGCCUGAUGCAGCCAUGCCGCGUGUAUGAAGAAGGCUUUCGGGUUGUAAAGCACUUUCAGUGGGGAGGCGUUACCCGCAGAAGAAGCACCGGCUAACUCCGUGCCAGCCGCCGCGGUAAUAC
rnacentral:rRNA from 1 species